rnacentral:rRNA from 1 species
UACGUAGGGUGCAAGCGUUGUCCGGAAUUAUUGGGCGUAAAGAGCUCGUAGGCGGUUUGUCGCGUCUGCUGUGAAAACGCGAGGCUCAACCUCGCGCCUGCAGUGGGUACGGGCAGACUAGAGUGCGGUAGGGAGAUUGGAAUUCCUGGUGUAGCGGUGGAAUGCGCAGAUAUCAGGAGGAACACCGAUGGCGAAGGCAGAUCUCUGGGCCGUUACUGACGCUGAGGAGCGAAAGCGUGGGGAGCGAACAGG